ACAAUGGUGUGACAUCUCAGGAAGAGGUUCUUAAACUUCUACAGGCCAUUGCAGAUUCUCAGACGAAUGAGGAGUUUGAGAACAACACUGUUACCCUUCAACAACAUCCAGACUGGCAGUCAAAUGAGAAGCUGAGAAGGUUCGUCAGCACAUGGCUUGUUCAUGCAGAGAGGUGGCAAAGACAAAAGGAUGUCCUGAAGCAUUCACACCUAAAGGGACACAGAAACUGCAGACUCAGCGAAACACUAGUAGUCAUUAUAAGCAACUUCCUGCCGAGAUCGUAUCAAAAGUAAUGUUGAAUUGAAUAUCAAAUGCUCAAGUGGCUCACGCAAAUACAGCACAAACGUGCCUUGUUAUGCAGGAUACAGAC
rnacentral:lncRNA from 1 species